GACGUCUGGCUACUGUGAAAGCGGUAUACUUCCGGCUUUCCGGUUCCAAUUUUAUUUGCCAGAACGCAAAAUUUAAGAUCGACGCUAGAUAUAUAAUAUGUCUGGUCGAUCCUAGACAAUAUGCCUUCGAUACUCGUGAGAGGGUAGGCGUCCUUUAUGACCACUUCCUGCAUCGCUGGUGAUAGCGGAUAACAACGAUCCUUAAACGGUACUGCGCCCCCCACCAACUGGAUAUAGUGCUGUUCUGCUGCAGUCGUUCCUAGCCCAGCUUCUUCGUCCCAAGUUCUACCUCCGUUUCUUGUCUUCUAUCUUCCGCAUAGUGGCUGAUCUCGGACAUCUUGACUUCAGCUACUUGGGCGUGACUGGAUUCGCUGUUUUCGUCGCCUAGAACUGCUGGAGCCAACUCAAAAAUCUCCAGAUAUCGAUACCCAAGUACAUCGAUUGUUCCAGAUCUGUCUUCGCGACGAACACAUAUCCUUCCAUCUCUACCCCGAGUUCGGCCAUCAGUUCCCUACUGUCUUCGCCCAGUAGACUUACAGAG